GAUGAACGCUAGCUACAGGCUUAACACAUGCAAGUCGAGGGGUAACGAGAGGAAAGCUUGCUUUCCUUGUUGACGACCGGCGCACGGGUGAGUAACGCGUAUCCAACCUGCCCCCAACUAGGGAAUAACCUUGCGAAAGUAAGACUAAUACCCUAUAAUUUCCUCAGAUGUCAUCUGACGAGGAAUAAAGAUUUAUCGGUUGUGGAUGGGGAUGCGUCUGAUUAGCUUGUUGGCGGGGUAACGGCCCACCAAGGCAACGAUCAGUAGGGGUUCUGAGAGGAAGGUCCCCCACAUUGGAACGGAGACACGGUCCAAACUCCUACGGGAGGCGGCAGUGAGGAAUAUUGGUCAAUGGGCGGAAGCCUGAACCAGCCAAGUAGCGUGAAGGAUGACGGCCCUAUGGGUUGUAAACUGCUUAUAUACAGGAAUAAAGUUAGCCACGUGUGGUUAUUUGUAGGUACUGUAUGAAUAAGGACCGGCUAAUUCCGUGCCAGCCGCCGCCGUAA
rnacentral:rRNA from 1 species